GAUGAACGCUGGCGGCGUGCCUAAUACAUGCAAGUCGAGCGAACGGACGAGAAGCUUGCUUCUCUGAUGUUAGCGGCGGACGGGUGAGUAACACGUGGAUAACCUACCUAUAAGACUGGGAUAACUUCGGGAAACCGGAGCUAAUACCGGAUAAUAUUUUGAACCGCAUGGUUCAAAAGUGAAAGACGGUUUUGCUGUCUCUUAUAGAUGGAUCCGCGCUGCAUUAGCUAGUUGGUAAGGUAACGGCUUACCAAGGCAACGAUGCAUAGCCGACCUGAGAGGGUGAUCGGCCACACUGGAACUGAGACACGGUCCAGACUCCUACGGGAGGCAGCAGUAGGGAAUCUUCCGCAAUGGGCGAAAGCCUGACCGAGCAACGCCGCGUGAGUGAUGAAGGUCUUCGGGUCGUAAAACUCUGUUGUUAGGGAAGAACAGAUGUGUAAGUAAAUGUGCACAUCUUGACGGUACCUAAUCAGAAAGCCACGGCUAACUACGUG
rnacentral:rRNA from 1 species